GUCCAGUUUGCACCCUAGACUUCCACGAGUGUGAGAGGCUGGAGCGGUCUGGACAAGGUCACAACCCUUUGACCUUGUGUAUACUCCAGGCCAGGCGUUUACCUAAUUGGUGCCGUUCUUGCAGUGUUUCUUACUGCAUUCCUUUUGGAGGAGGAGGCCUGGAAUCUCCAAGCACUCUACCAGGAGAGGAGGCAGCAGGGCUGUGAGGCCCAAUGAAAAAAUCUCACCAGAAACUGCUACACAAGAAAAGACAGGAACGGAGCUAUAACCAGACUCCCACUGCCGCCUCAGCCUAACGGUGACUCACUCCCCUCACCUGGUGAGCAAGCCACUUGUGUGUCAGGAACAGACCUGCCGAAUCGAAGCACCAAGACGAACCAUCGCAUCGUAUUAAUAUUUUCACACCACUUAACUCUCAUUAAAAUAUACUUUGCUGAAUUUAAUAUGUGAUUUCAAAUGACACAACAUAUUAAGUGCUUAAUAUACUAGAAAUUAUGAAUCUAUUAUAGUUGAUGCCAUAUGAAAUAAUUAGACUGAAUUAAACUUUAGC